UACGUAGGGAGCGAGCGUUGUCCGGAAUCAUUGGGCGUAAAGAGCAUGUAGGUGGAUCAAUUAGUUUGCUGUGAAAGUCAAAGGCUCAACCUUUGAAAGCCGGUGGAUACUGUUGAUCUAGAGUACGGAAGAGGCGAGUGGAAUUCCUGGUGUAGCGGUGGAAUGCGCAGAUAUCAGGAGGAACACCGAUGGCGAAGGCAGGUCACUGGGCCGCAACUGACGCUGAGGAGCGAAAGCAUGGGGAGCGAACAGG
rnacentral:rRNA from 1 species